UAUAGCCUGCUGUGUUCGUCAGGGAUCUGGCAAAUUUGAACCAACACUCAAAUACCCUGGGGAUGGCUGUCCUAAAGCGCGCCCGUGGGCCGCUGGCGUUGUUCCCACCUGUAAAACAGGUUCAAGGUCGCCCUUUCUCAACGGCAUAAGCGGGUUUUGA
rnacentral:other from 1 species